CAGGGUACCAUAUAAAAAGGAUGGGUGUCCUCCUGUCCAAAUAAUUCACUCAGAGUGCUUUGGUCUUCUGCUCCACAGCUGCUGUAGAGGCACCACCUCAGCUACAGAAAGAUGGGCUGCUGCUGUGCACACUGCAAAAAGCAAAAUGAUGAACACUCCUGUUAUGAAGCCCACAGACAUACAGCCUGUGUGCCGAACCCUAGCUGUCCUCAAGGUGGCGCUCCUGGGCCUUAUCAGGGAGGGAGGUUCUACCCUGCACCGCACUGCCUUCCACCUCAAGAAGGCUGUAAACAGGAUGGUGCAUAUCCCCUCCAAUAUGAUCCAGUGAAGAGCUGAAGAGGAACUUCCAUUCUGGCCUUCAGAAACCCAAGCAUUCAUCCAGCUCAACCAUUCCAGCAUCCUGACAUUUUAAAUUCAAAGGAUUCCAUUCAAAUUCAGAAAUGAUGAACAUUUAACUUUUUGUAAAAAAAAAAAUAUGGACUUUGCAAAUUUUAAAUUGUUUGUUGGGCAUCCAGUCUCAAAUUGGCUGCCAAGGCCUGGACUUUUCUGUCACCGAAAGCAUGAUUCACGUCUUGAGGCCGUGAUUGGUAAUUGAGUUCUUUUGCCCCCCUCACUUGCAUUUGAUAUAUACAGAUGUCGCAUUGUCAGCAUUCUGAAUGAAAUCCAGCUUAGUCAUAUGAGGAAACCCAUCAAAAUCAAUGGAUUCAAGUUAGUUAAUGGGGUUGCAUCCAAUGUUAGUCAUAUUCAAAGUAAAUCUAUUGAAAUUGAUUGACCUAAGUCAGUCAUAGAGAGCCAGUGUGGCAUAGUGGUUAGAGUGUUGGACCAGGGUUCAAAUCCCCCCACAGCCAUGAAGCUCACUGGGUGCCUUUGGGCCAGUCACUGUCUCUCAGCCUCAGAGGGAGGCAAUGGAAAACACCCUCUGAAUACCAUGAAAAACCCUAUUCAUGGGGUCACCAUAAGUCAGAAUCAACUUAAAGGCUUUCAAUUUAUGUCAGUCAUAUCCAUUCAUUUUAAAGGGUCUAGUCUGAGUAUGAUUCAAUAGGAUACAACUUAUUGAUUUCAAUGGGUCCACUCUCUGAGUAUGACUUAGCUGGAUCUCUCUCUUUGAAUUCAAGUCUUAGUGUUGACCCUUGAGCAUCUGAACUUUCAAAUUGAAAAAUAUGACUAUUCAUGUUUUGCUUUCCUGAAGCCAACCAGACUACUUUUCCACAUCAUCGUGAUGCUUGUCUCUCCUCAGUUGAACAAUACAGAUUUCUGAUUUCUCUGUGA